rnacentral:tRNA from 1 species
GCGGGCGUGGCGAAACUGGCAGACGCACCAGACUUAGGAUCUGGCGCCGCAAGGCAUGUAGGUUCGAUUCCUAUCGCCCGCA